GACGUAGGGCGCGAGCGUUGUCCGGAUUUAUUGGGCGUAAAGAGCUCGUAGGCGGCUUGUCGCGUCGUUCGUGAAAACUCACAGCUCAACUGUGAGCUUGCGGUCGAUACGGGCAGGCUAGAGUUCGGUAGGGGAGACUGGAAUUCAUGGUGUAGCAGUGAAAUGCGUAGAGAUCAGGAGGAACACCGGUGGCGAAGGCGGGUCUCUGGGCCGAUACUGACGCUGAGGAGCGAAAGCGUGGGGAGCAAACAGG
rnacentral:rRNA from 1 species